GGCCCUUUAGCUUAACUGGUAAAAGCAGUCGGCUCAUAACCGAAAGAUAGUUGGGUUCGAGUCCCACGAGGGUCACCA
rnacentral:tRNA from 1 species